ACCAAGACAAUGAUGCAUAGCCGAGUUGAGAGACUGAUCGGCCACAUUGGGACUGAGACACGGCCCAAACUCCUACGGGAGGCUGCAGUAGGGAAUCUUCCACAAUGGGCGAAAGCCUGAUGGAGCAACGCCGCGUGUGUGAUGAAGGCUUUCGGGUCGUAAAGCACUGUUGUAUGGGAAGAACAGCUAGAAUAGGAAAUGAUUUUAGUUUGACGGUACCAUACCAGAAAGGGACGGCUAAAUACGUGCCAGCAGCCGCGGUAAUACGUAUGUCCCGAGCGUUAUCCGGAUUUAUUGGGCGUAAAGCGAGCGCAGACGGUUUAUUAAGUCUGAUGUGAAAGCCCGGAGCUCAACUCCGGAAUGGCAUUGGAAACUGGUUAACUUGAGUGCAGUAGAGGUAAGUGGAACUCCAUGUGUAGCGGUGGAAUGCGUAGAUAUAUGGAAGAACACCAGUGGCGAAGGCGGCUUACUGGACUGCAACUGACGUUGAGGCUCGAAAGUGUGGGUAGCAAACAGGAUUAGAUACCCUGGUAGUCCACACCGUAAACGAUGAACACUAGGUGUUAGGAGGUUUCCGC
rnacentral:rRNA from 1 species